rnacentral:rRNA from 1 species
GACGAACGCUGGCGGCGUGCCUAAUACAUGCAAGUCGAGCGGACUCCACCUUCGGGUGAGGUUAGCGGCGGACGGGUGAGUAACACGUAGGCAACCUGCCUGUAAGAUUGGGAUAACUAUCGGAAACGAUAGCUAAGACCGAAUAAUUGAUCUGCCUGCAUGGGCGGAUCAUGAAACACGGCGCAAGCUGUGGCUUACAGAUGGGCCUGCGGCGCAUUAGCUAGUUGGUGAGGUAACGGCUCACCAAGGCGACGAUGCGUAGCCGACCUGAGAGGGU